GCAUGGGGCCCUUGGACAUCCUCAGGUAAGGAUGGGGCAGAGAAGGUUCUCAAGCAAUAUUCUGAAAUGAGCAUGAAUCGAUGAAUCAUUUUCCAGAGCUUGGGGGCUUUCCAGGGACAGUGAGCCCCAGGAAUCUGACACAUGGACUCUUACCAAGAGAAAUGGAAUUCCUGAGUGGGGACUGCACAGGAAGCAGUAACGCUUUUCAGCAUAAACUGUAGUCAUCCUGGCCAGGGCUGCAGGCAAGUGAGGGAGCAGCUGCGCCCGGGGUCUAGCAAAGCCCUGGUUCCUCCAGUGAGACCCAAAGCAUCUCCUGAAGGAAGGUCUCUUAAACGACCCUCAGAAUCGGAUUUCGCUCUGCAUCGAGUUUUCUGAAACUUGAAGAUCAAAUGCUGAGGUUACAAAUGCUUUCCAUUAUUUUCUUCAUGGUUUUCUAGAUUUUAAAACAUUGCUCUAGCCAGGGUGUUUUCCCAGCCCCCACGUCCAUGGCACCCCCAGUCUCUUCUCUGCACAUCUGGAUUUCCUACGGGGUUUCACUGGUGUCCAGGGCCGUCACCCAAAGGUGCCUGGCCUGGAGUAAGCAGAGGCUGGAACACAGCCUGAGCCUGGAACACAGCCUGAGCCCUGCUUGUCAAGUUCUGCUUCUGACCAGCGGAGGGGGGCCCAGACUGGGUGCCUAUUUCUAAUUCCUGGAAAGGUAUGUGCCCGCCGAGGCCCAGCUGGUGUCCCCCUCUAGAUGAAGUCACCUGCUGGGGCCACCACGACCCACCUGGGGCCCGCUGCCAGAUCCCACCAGCCUCUGCCGCCUUUGCCCGGUGCCACUGCCACUGCCCCAGGUCACCACCAUGAUGAUGAACCAGGCUCCCCAUGAGGUGCCAUAGCGGCACUAUGUUGUCUGGGGUCUUCCAAGCCACGUUGUUACAGGAAAAUGCUACACUUCCCAGAUGGUUUCAAAGUGCAAGCUGCAAUAACUCACAGAGCUUUGGUGAAGUCACUCAUUCUAUUUUAACUCAACUAUGGAACUAACUCUACUGUUGAAGGCAUGAGGGCGCCGGGCGGGGGAAUGAACCAGAGUGGUGGCCAUUCUGUGGGCCUUCCAACAUUCCUCAUCUUCGAGAUUUGUCAGUAAGGGAUUCUUACUGAUUCAGACUUGGGUCUGGGUCCUCUUUGUGAAGAUACACUUUGUGUCCUCAAAUUUGAAUGUUUUCCCAGAAAGCUCUUGUGUCCCCAAGACAGAUUUCUGGUGGCCUCCCCAUCACUGAGCCAGGCAGGCCCACACAUGCCUGCCCCAGGCUUAGGGUGGGGCGUGCUCCAUCAGAAAGAACAGGUCGAUCUUCUUUCCUUCUUCCCUUCCUUCCAGGUUACACAGCGACAUGCAAAGUCCUCCCCAGUAUGGACCACAUUGAAGCAGGUGUGAGGCAGACACCAGGGCUUCCCAGCCACCAGGCUUCUUUGGCCACUUUUUCGUCUUGUCCUGGUAGAAGGUGGCCAUGAAUCCAAGCACCCCUUCCAGCCUCACGAGAUGAAUUAAUUAGCCUAAACUGUUUGUGGUAAUUCCUUUCCCCUUGUGAGCAAUUUGGCACUUUUUGGCACCCAGUCUCUGGUGUGACCUCGCCAUCCUCAUUGGCACAGCCACCCUGGGAACAAAAGCCAUCCUCACGUGUCGCUGAGAUCCCAGCCAUGUGCACACUCAGCCCAGGUAGGCUGCAAGGGCAGAAGCCUCUGAGACCCACUGACUCUUAGCCUUAAUUCUUCCAAAUCAACUUUAAUUUGCCCCAAAUCCCCACACACCAGGACUGUGCCCAGGCUGUGGGGGUCUUACACAGCGUGAAAACUUCAGGAACUUCCUGCUGUCAUCAGUUACUGGUCUUCCUAUUUACCGUUUGGACAACCACAGACUGAAGGAAUCUGAAAUGGACCCGUCGGGUCAGUGGCUCUGAGCCACUGUGGGAAUGUCUGGCAAGGCUGGAAGCCCUGGGGUCUAAGGUCCAGGGGGCCAAGGUGCACCUGGGCUGGCCUUUUGUUCACAGGCUUCCCUGUGAUCUCCCUCCAGCCUGGGAGAAAAAAAAAAAUCUCUCUUCCAUGCUCCUCUCAAAGGCACCCCCUGCAGGACAUCCACACGGUCUCUCUGGGAGCUUGGGCUUUUAUUAAAGACACAGCAAGCCUGCCUUGCCAAAAUCCCUCAGACAAGGCCAUGCCAAGGGCUGGCGACCUCCUGGUAAUGUGAGAAGACACCAGAAGAACACGUACUCCUUUUUCAAUUAACUGUCCCCCCAUCUUUCCGAGGAAAUCUGACUCCUGUACCAAGCUUGCCUUCUAAACAGGUUGAGAGCCUAGAACCCAGGGUUGGGGCUUCUGGAGUGACUGAUAUCACCCCACGUAUGAAUCUGGCCCUGAUGCCAAGGACUGUGAUUCAACAAGGCAACUGGGGCCAUACACAGGGGUGCUGGGCCCUGUAGGAGACAGUGGCAAGGCCCUGCUCUCAGGCUCCUGGGUCCCAGUGGGGAGGCAGCCUCAUGCAUGGAUCCUUAGCCCGUGAGGAGCAGGAUGGCUGCAAUAAGGAGGAGGAAGCCUGAACAGCUGAUUCCUCCUUGGGCGGUGGGUGGGGUUGGCUCUGUGGGAUCUGAGAAGGCUUCUUGGGAGAGGUUGGGUUUAAGUUAGGACCUUGAGACAGGCAGGAGGAAGCCAUUCUAGAGAAAGGUGGCAGUUUCUGGGAGGGGUUUAUAAUUGAAGCUGGGGCAUCAGGGGUAUGUCAGAAGAAGGAGGGGCAGUGGAAAAUAAGCUUGUAAAAACAGCUUGAGGCCAAACCACAAAGAACACUGAAUGCCUGGGGAGGGGGAGUUUAGUUUGAAUUUUUAUUGUUUAUGCAUGGUCAUAGUUUAAGGAUCCCUGCCCCCAGUCUCAGAUUUUGCCUUUUCCUGCUUCCCAAGCUUUCAGCUGGUUCUUUUAGUAUUUACCUUCAUAGCUGUAAAUAUUAUGCUUAGAUUACUAUUUGAUUUUUCUACUUAUAAUGUCAUUCGUUGAGUUUCUGCUACAGAAGAUGAGAUGUUUAUGUAUAGUGAGAGCAGUAUACAUAAACAUACUUCCUAUCCCUUCAAAUAGAGUUACAUUAUAAUUUUAGUUCAUUAAUAGUUUGCAUUACAUUAUUAUUACUACAUCAACAAUACUCACAGCUGAAUCAUAUAGUAGACCAUGGUAACCUUUUGCUUGCUUAUUUUGUACUUUUCCUGAAAUUAAUCAUUACCUUGUUGUUUGCUUCUUUGUUUUAGUUUGUUUAAGUUUCUAAGUACUUAUUACUAAUGAAACCCCAAAGUUUUUGUCAAGUAUAGACAUCUCCUUUCAGGCUGUUCAGAAAGCCUGUGGUGUCCUACCAACUUCACCCUCCUGGGAAGCUCUUCUGAACCCUAGAGUCCUGUGCAUAACCAUUUGGGAAAAUCCCUUCAUCUCUCUCCUGGGUUAAGGUCCCCUUGCCUUCUUCCUCAUUUCACCCCUAUGUUUUGAUAGAGCACAUCCCCCAGUAGCUUUCUGAGAAAAGGUGCAUUUGGGGCCGUGAUACUUGAAUACCUGGAAAAGUCUUUUCUACCCUUGCAGUUGAUUGAUAGGUUGGCUGGGUAUAGGUUUUAGGUUAGAAAUCAUUUUCCUUUAGAAUUUUGAAAACACUGCUCCAUUGCUUUAAAAAAUGUUGCAACUGAGAAACAUAAAGCCAGCUUGAUUUCUGUCUCCUUUGUAUGUGAUGGGAUUUUUUUUUUCUGUUCUUCUGGGAGCUUUUACAUCUUCUCUUUGUCCCCAGUGUUGUGAAAUUUCACAAUAACCGACCUUGCUGUAGGUCUCUUCAUCCAUUGUGCUGGAAUGGGCCCUUUUAAUGUGGAAACUUGUCCCUCUUGUCUGGGACAUUUUCUUGAAAUAUUUCCUUGACAAUUUCUCUGACAGUAGGUAUUUUUUUCCACCCUUUGAAUAUAGAUGGAAAUACCAUUUUCCCCAGAAUGUAACCAGAUCUUGUCGUUCUAGAAUGUAGCCAGGGAAGCAAAGGCAUCCAGCUAAGUUUGCCUGUGGUAGGAGUCAGAGCGUAAGCUUACUUUGGAAAGGGAGUUCUGCGGUCCACUUUCUGCCUCCGCUGAAGGCCUUCAUGUCGAUGAAGUGCCUGGGAGGUCCUAAGUCUCAUCUUAUUAGAGAAACUGCUCCUGAACAGCCUAAGAUGUCACCCCAUGCAUCAGUUCAUAGUCUCUUACUCUGCUUGAUUUUACUUGCCACAUCAUAGGUGCUCAAUGCUCAUUGUUUGUCAAAUUGAAUUAUUUGGGACACAAUUUUCCCGUCUGUAAAAUGAAGGUGCUGGACUAGAAUUCUAAAAGUCCCAGUAGCUCCAAUGUCCAACAACUAUGCUUAUGUCACUGUGUUGGAAAAUGACUUAUAAAAGGGAAUGAAAUAGUCUCUGUAAAUAUGUUUCUCUGCCCACAUUUAAUGAAUUGUCUACCACAAUGAGGGGGAGUCCUAUUU
rnacentral:lncRNA from 1 species